UUUACUUACCUGACAGAUGGUCAUUCCCGGUGGCUCUCACUGAGAGUAAAGUACAGCAGCUCAGAGAAGGUUGGAGCCAGAAGGGGACAGGAGACAGAAAAACAGUCCUUUGUCAGUUGAGGAAACUGAGGCCCAAAAUGUGAAGUCACCUCUGCAGCUGGUUGAUAUGGAGCAAGGGCCUGAGCCAGAUGUCCUGACCAUUCAGUGUUCCUCCGCAUUGUAGCAAGCUGUGUCCGGGGUGGAGCUGUCCUUCCUGGUCAAAGUGUCAAGAUAUACCACCUUCCUGCAAGGGCAUCCACUAUGUCCAGCUGAUGAGC